rnacentral:rRNA from 1 species
AUUGAACGCUGGCGGCAUGCUUUACACAUGCAAGUCGAACGGUAACAGGCCUUCGGGUGCUGACGAGUGGCGAACGGGUGAGUAAUGCAUCGGAACGUACCCAGGGGUGGGGGAUAACGCAGCGAAAGCUGUGCUAAUACCGCAUGUGAUCUGAGGAUGAAAGCGGGGGACCGAGCAGCAAUGUUUGGCCUCGCGCCUUUGGAGCGGCCGAUGUCGGAUUAGCUAGUUGGUGGGGUAAAGGCCUACCAAGGCGACGAUCCGUAGCUGGUCUGAGAGGACGACCAGCCACACUGGGACUGAGACACGGCCCAGACUCUUACGGGAGGCAGCAGUGGGGAAUUUUGGACAAUGGGCGCAAGCCUGAUCCAGCAAUGCCGCGUGCGGGAAGAAGGCCUUCGGGUUGUAAACCGCUUUUGGCAGGAACGAAACGGUGUCCGCUAAUACCGGGCGCUAAUGACGGUACCUGCAGAAUAAGCACCGGCUAACUACGUG